AUUUGAAUAGUUUAAAAAAAAUAUUAGUUUGUGAUUCUAAUGAUACAUUUUAUGUUUCAAAUAA
rnacentral:tRNA from 1 species